rnacentral:rRNA from 1 species
GACGAACGCUGGCGGCGUGCUUAACACAUGCAAGUCGAACGGAGAGGCCCUGCUUUUGUGGGGUGCUCGAGUGGCGAACGGGUGAGUAACACGUGAGUAACCUGCCCUUGACUUUGGGAUAACUUCAGGAAACUGGGGCUAAUACCGGAUAGGAGCUCCUGCUGCAUGGUGGGGGUUGGAAAGUUUCGGCGGUUGGGGAUGGACUCGCGGCUUAUCAGCUUGUUGGUGGGGUAGUGGCUUACCAAGGCUUUGACGGGUAGCCGGCCUGAGAGGGCGACCGGCCACAUUGGGACUGAGAUACGGCCCAGACUCCUACGGGAGGCAGCAGUGGGGAAUAUUGCACAAUGGGCGGAAGCCUGAUGCAGCAACGCCGCGUGCGGGAUGACGGCCUUCGGGUUGUAAACCGCUUUCGCCUGCGACGAAGCGUGAGUGACGGUAAUGGGUAAAGAAGCACCAGCUAACUACGUG